AAAAUUGUGCAGUUUUAUAAAUAAAGUGUCUGUCACUUGUUAAUAGUAGUUCUUUGUGUGAAAGGAAUCUUUUAUUUUCACACAUGAUAUUAAUUUUUAUUAGCCUAAUCUUUUAUUUUAUUGAUCUUUUACCAGACUUCUCAGUGGCACAAGAAAACAGCGAGUCAUGAUAAAUGUGUAAAAAUGUCUAUACACAAAAUCGUUUGAGUGAAUAAUUCAACAUACUCGUUUAGGAUGAUCUCACAUGGCCGACGUGGAUUCACAAAUCAGUGAGUGAAUCUUUUUGGUGAACCGAUUCAAAAUAUUCGAAUCACUGCGAUCAAAAUCUCACCUCUAGAUGACGCUAGUUACUGAUGAGUGGAGCGAGAGCGCGAGUCGGUUGACAUUGUAAUACAGCGACUCACGUGUCCUACAGAUCACCUGUGUUUGCGUGUGUAAAAUUAUCUUUGUUUAUUUUGGAUUAUAAUAUGUGUAUCUUAGCAAGUAUUAGUGAAGCACGUGCACUUAGCGGAUGAAAACGCGGUGGAAAUACUAGCGAUAUCAGGAUCAGUUGACAUUUUGUGACGUUCGAGAUGGAGAGCCGAUCAAAGCAAUGUAAAAGCCUCUGCUUAUCCAAAUGUUGAUUUUUUUUUUAGUCUACAGCUGCUGGAUUUGAAUUGAUAACACAAAUUUCUAAAUGUAUUUUAGACUGAAGUUGAUGGCAGCAUGUGGAAUUAUCAGCAUCCUGACUUUGCAUUAUUCCUACUUGGUGAACUUCAGAAGCAGCAGCAGGGAAGCAUCUUCUGUGACACACUUCUGCAGACGGAGGGUGUGUGUGUUCCAGCUCACAGUUGUGUGUUAGCUGCUCUAAGCCCCAUCUUCUCAAGAAUCUUUUCCACGUCCCCUGCUCCACAAGCAGGGCAGAACAGGCUUCUGAGCCUUGAGGCUGUAGGAUCUCAUGCACUUCUGAAGCUAGUUGGAUUCCUGUACACAGGGGAAAUGGAAAUCGAGAGUCAGAGCGAACAUGAGGAAAUAAUGGUUGCUGCCCACAGACUUGGACUUAGAAACCUUUUUGAAAAAAAGAGAGUGUGGGUGGACAGAGGAGUUGUGGAUGUUGGGAGACGCUGGAAAGAGACUGGUGUACAGACAGAAGACAACAUGAAGAGCCAGGAAAGUGAAAUUGUGUCUGAGCCUUUGAAGAUACAGAGCACUGUAUCUUCAUUGCAACCUUCUGGCUUGUUGGAGCCUGAUUUGCCACCAUCGCAGCUGUUUGAUGAAGCUAAUCCAACUAGAGGUUUUAAUUUGAUCAGUAACGUCACUGUUCCUUCCCUCGCUGACAUGACAGAAGCAUCGGUAUCGAACCAUCGUAAAACAAAGGCUAAGAAAAGGUGGAAAAUGGCAAAGAGAGAAAGCCAGUUAAAAAAAUUAACUAAUCAACAAACCCAGAUAAAGCUUCUUAAUGCUGAAGGGACCAAAUCAAACCAAAUUGGAGUGGUGGAAAGGAGUAAGACUGUUUCAGGGAAAGACUUCCAGAAGCUUUUAGAGGCAGAUAAUGGACAAAAAAACACCACUGCUGAACAGAAAGAGGCCAAAUUGGAUCAGCUUAAAGUAAAGAUAAAACUGAGGAGAAUGAGUGGAGCUUUCUGGGAGAGUAACCUCCUUGUUUCCGUCCAAGGUGAGAGUGAGACGAAGCCAGAAGAAGUGAAAGAGUGUGGACCUCGAACUCAAAGCUUCCCAUCUAGUGUACUUCGUGGUCAAAGUCUUGAAACUCUCACCCCACCGACGGACCUGCCUGUUUCACCCUCUAAUUCCUCCACGCAUGCCUCUUCAGAUAAAUGUCUUCAUACUCCACAUCACAUUUCUGUCUCUUCCCCUUUGGAUAUACCAACAUUAUCUUCCAGCCCUCCCCAAGCAGACGAAUCUGAUGAACAUAUUGCAAUGCUCUUGGAGGAUAUGUUCAUGAUGGGUUUAAACAUCCUGCCGUUGGUGCCAUUAGACAGAAAUCUGAAUGAGCAAGACCAACUAGGUCCUCUUCAGGAACAAAAAGGUGGGCAAAUGGGCGCUGAGGCUUCUACUCAAGGUGCUUGUCUUUUUGUGCAAAGUUGUGAACCAGAGCAAAGGGAAUCUGAUGUUAGCAAGACAGCAGCUCUAGUUGGGUCUCCAGGACAAAGAGGUAAAGACCACAAUCAGGCAAGAUCCAAUACAUUCAAGCUCCUGACUCAGUUACCUGAACAGGACCACUUGAACGAAGUUCAGAAUCUGGCAACUGUGUCAAGAAACUCUACCCCCUCACUUACAGAAGGCUCGAUUUUAACCCCAAAAGCCACAGCUGACCCACACUCUGUUGUAGAAGGUGAAAUGCCAAGCCUUCUUAUGACCAGCAUACCUGAUGACACUCCAGAAUUCAAACUACAAAAAUGCCUUUCCCCUCUUGAAUCAGAAAAAGGAGACAGUGAUGUUCCAUCAAAACCAUCACACAGGCAGGACUCAGAAGCACAAAACUUUCCCUUGUGGUUUUCUGAAUCACCACUGAUAUUGGACUUCCCUCUAAGAUCAAUGAUUGAUUCUUCCUGCCCACAUCCACAGUGUGACCUCGACGCCUGCCAGAAUCGAUCAUGCCCUGACCUUGCAGAAAUGCAAGAAUUAAAGACUUCCUUUUCACACAAUGAUUUAGUCGGUGGGAGUAGCUCAAACAUCGUUCAGCCUGAUGUGAGCGAUGCUAGUGAGCAUCCUAAGCAGAGAAAGACGAGAAAACAGAGGCGUACAGCUCAAAAGUCAAAAGUGAAAGGGGACACAAAGUGUCAAAACCUAGAAAAUGAGGAUCAAGUUCAACCGAGGAUAUCCGAGUGUGAUGAGCCUCAUUGUGGAAACAUUAAGCCAUCAAAUUCUGACACAUAUGGAGUCAGUACUCGAAUUACCAGAAGAGUAGCUGCAGGUAUGAAGAGAAGACGAGAAAUUUCUUCACCUCUCAGUAAGAUGCCGACAUUGAACACUGCCAGUAAACAAUAUGAACAUGUAGAUGUUUUACCUAAACCAACACGCACUGGUGUUGUAAAAUGUCGUCGUGGCAGACCACCUAAAUCCAAAACAUCUCCUGUAGAUCCCCUGUGUAACAACGCAAAGAAAUUGCCCACUUCAGUCCAAGAUGAUUGUGAAGUGGAAAAAACUAAGACAGACAAUGAGAUUGAACAGGGUAAUAAGCAAGAACCAAAUACACAGGAGGAGAAAGAAAUGGAAGAAAUAGAUGUCAACAGCAAUUUUACACAGUCGACGCCAAAUUCUCACUUCAAGUAUGCUGGCCAGAUGAAGGGACCAAGUAUUCUUGAUCAGAUUUUCCAUCAGGCUCUUCCACCUGUUGGAAGUCCCGCAUGUAAGAGUUCACUGAAUAUUGAUCAGCAGCUAACAUCAAGCCUGCGAAACAUGUCUUUUAGCCUUCAAAAAUUCCAAGGAGGGAAAAGUGAAGACGUUAAUAGUAAAUUAGUUAUGAAUAGCAGUGAACAGAUCAAUAAGGGCAUUUGUGGAGAGAAAAAAAAGGCAGAGACAUCUAUGCUGAUAAAAGGAAAGGAAGACGUGGAGUUAUCUGACAAUCAAUCGAGGUCACUGUUGUCAUGUGGAGACAUGCCAGAUAACGUGAAAUGUUCAGAUAAAGAUGGAGAUUUUUCAAUGGAGGAGAACUCAACUAGAUCAGCCACUGUUUUACAGAAUAGUGAUUUAGAAAAUGAGAUGGGAACAGACAUUCAGGAUGACACAACUGAGAUUUAUGUCCUGUUAACAUCUGAGGAGGACAUAACGAAGGACAUGAUGACAUCUGUUGAGGAUACUGAUGAUGCUGAUCAUGAUUUGUCACCCACAAAGGCAGACUCUGUUGUUGCCACCAAUGAACUGAUAGUGAUUGAGGGAAAAGAAAUGAAUUUCUGUUUGAAUCUUGAUAGUGCACAUGCAGAACAUCUCAGAGAUGAACAAAACUCUGAAGCUACAGAUUCUAAUGAGUGUUCAGUUGAGAUGACAUCAGAUAGUGAAAAUGUUGACACCCAGGAUAUUGGCUGGGUGGCCGAUUGUAUGGAGAACAAUGAAAAAGAGGAUUUAGGUAGGAACGAAGAGGAUCAGAUGAUCGAAGAAAAUAUGGCGGGAGAAGAAACUGAAGUUCUGAGAGCACAUGAAUUUGUAGAGGAGAAUGCUCUGCUUGAUUUGAAUGAGGGAUGUUGGGAAACCACCAGUGGGUUGGAUGAUGAUGGUAUUGAUGUGGAGGAGGCCCAAUACAGUGGUGAGAUGAUCGAUGAACAGAUCCUUCUGGUGGAAGAGGAAUUGAGUCAAGGACACGUUGCAAGUUCUAAGAUUGCAGAUGAUCCAUCAAAAGGAGCUUGUCCUCAAGAAAUAAGCACAGAUGCUCCUUCUGAAGGUUCAAACUUUAACAGCCCCAAUGUGUGCAGUGAAGAUGUCUCAAUGGUUCUGUCUGUUGGGGCCGAUUCAGAAUCAAAAGAGGACUGCCACUUAGAUGAAGAAGAUAUUGAAGUAGAUGUUCUAGGGGAGUCUGUAGAAGAGUUUCCAUUAGGGCUUUUGGCAGCUAGACAGGCCGUCACUCUGUCCAUUGAGGAUCUUUUGGACCAAGAGGAUGAAUUGGAUACCACUGAAGAAGAGGAGAAAACUUUAUUGUCAGCGGAAGUGACAAUUACAACCCUGGAUAGAGAGGAUCCACGUGGGUACUUCCUCCGGUCAAGCACACACACUGAAGGUUAAGCAGCCUGUCAGAACUCUUUGUUGAACGGGACCCACGCGCUGUCCGGUGGGUUUUGAGCGAGGGUGAACGGAAAGGUCAUUUGCAGAGAUGGAUCCCAUGAAAGCGCAGCAGCUCGCCGCGGAGCUGGAGGUUGAAAUGAUGGCUGAUAUGUAUAACCGAAUGACCAGCGCGUGUCACAGGAAGUGUGUUCCACCUCAUUACAAGGAAGCAGAACUUUCAAAAGGGGAAGCUGUGUGUUUGGACCGCUGUGUCGCCAAGUACUUGGACUUGCAUGAGAGACUUGGCCGUAAACUCACUGAGCUUUCCGUUCAGGAUGAGGAGGUGAUGAGGAAGGCUGCUGCGGGCACUGGUUAAACCUGAUAUGGACUCCAAGGGUGGGGCUGAAGGCCUUGGAUGGGGUUUGUGGGCACUUUGGACAUCCAUUAUGGAGAAAUCAGGCAGCGUGGACACGCAUAUAAAUAUUAUAACAUGAAUAUGAACAAUAUUGUGACAAAUAUUGAUUCACUGUUAGACAUGCCAAAAGGUUCAGACUUUUGGAUGGACUUGGGAUACAGUUUGUCCCAGGAGUUGUGAAUAGUUUGUUGGCAUGAACAUUAUUGACAUCACAGGAAUUAAACGUUAUCUGGUUGGGGAGAUUUGUGGAGUGUUGUGAAAUCGUGUCCUUGUGAAAUUGUUAGUGAUCUUUUUUUUUAUGUUGACACUGGUCAUUGUAAUUUCUUACAUUCUCUGAGUCAUUUUACAAAAUGUACCUUUAUUGUGUAACAAAAUUAAAAUGUUUACCAGUCUGUUUUUA